rnacentral:rRNA from 1 species
GGGUGCAAGCGUUACUCGGAAUUACUGGGCGUAAAGCGUGCGUAGGCGGUUUGUUAAGUCUGUCGUGAAAGCCCUGGGCUCAACCUGGGAAUUGCGAUGGAUACUGGCAAGCUAGAGUACGGUAGAGGAUGGUGGAAUUCCCGGUGUAGCGGUGAAAUGCGUAGAGAUCGGGAGGAACACCCGUGGCGAAGGCGGCCAUCUGGACCAGUACUGACGCUGAGGCACGAAAGCGUGGGGAGCAAACAGGA